AAACCAGCACCUCAAGUGGUCAGGAUGAUUAUUGGGCCUAAAGCAUCCGUAGCCGGCUCUGUAAGUUUUCGGUUAAAUCUGUACGCUCAACGUACAGGCUGUCGGGAAUACUGCAGAGCUAGGAAGUGGGAGAGGUAGACGGUACUCGGUAGGAAGGGGUAAAAUCCUUUGAUCUAUCGAAGACCACCUGUGGCGAAGGCGGUCUACCAGAACACGUUCGACGGUGAGGGAUGAAAGCUGGGGGAGCAAACCGGAUUAGAUACCCCAGUAGUCC
rnacentral:rRNA from 1 species